rnacentral:lncRNA from 1 species
AUGCAGGAACGGGGAGAAGGCCAGAGACAGGCCUGCCUCUCCGAUCUGGGCCUGCACGUGCCUGGGCCCUGCCACGGUGGCGCCGGGCCCAGCCUCUGCUGGAGGGAUCCCCAGGAGAAGGCCGAGCAGAGAGGCACCCGACUCCGUGCAGGUGUGAAGGCUGAGGGUCAGACCCUUCACACUCCUGCUUUCAGCAGAGGAGGACCAGAGGGGGGGGCCGCAGGGACCGUGUUCCCGCAGUGUGCUGCAGGCCUGAUGGACACGGUCGGAACAGAGGUUCCACUUACAGAGGACGAGACUGAGGUUCAGAGUGGCCAGGCCCAGGCUGCUCUCGGCCUCCCCUGUCUCUCAGGAAAUUGGCUCUGGCUGCCGGACCAGCUUUCCCUGGAUUCUCGGCACAGAACCACACACUGGCAUCCUCCAGGGGUCCGAGUAUGUGCGGCUGGGGAACCGGAUUCCUGCCUGAACAGAACCCACCCGGCCAGCACUCCCUCUCCAUCACGCACGGCCCCUCCGGAGAACGUUCACUCUCCAUCAUGCACGGCCCCUCUGAGGCCCCAAACUCCUCCCGGCAGCAGCGGCCUGAUCCCAUUUCACGGAGGGGAAAGCCGAGGCCCAGGGGAGUCAAGCACAUGCCGAGGCCGAGGAGGGAGAGCUCCGCUAUACCUCCCGUCCCGCGAGCACCCGGGCGGGCCUGGCCUACCUCAGCCUCGGCCCCUCCGGAGUGAGCCCCUCCACACAGGUGCGCUCAGAAAGUUCCAUGUUUGUGGAGCUGGCUUCCGCCUGGAUCACAGCCUCAGUCCUCACGGUAAUCGACUGCUCGAUAAUCAAAUUGAUUUCCAUUCCAAUGAGUCCUGCCUGCCGCCUACAUUCCAGGAACCGUAUUUUGAGCACAGACAUAUAAUCAAACGGCAAAAAGCAGAGGGCACAGAGGGCCUCUCUGCCAAUCGAAUAAAAGCUAAAUGGCCCGAGCUUUUAGGCCUAAUCACUUCUGUAUUCCCACCAGGGCCGGGUCUCCAGCAAAGCCCAUCUGAUCGAGGCUGGGCUCACCCGAGCAUUUUGGCUUCAGGUCCUAAUAUCCCCCCCCAGCCUUGCUGGUCUCCCCUGAUCUGCCGGGGUGGCCUGAUGGUUCCCUUCCAACCGAAGUCCAGCUUCCCCUUCGGGAGGGGCUCUGCCGCUCUGUCCUGGAGACGUUCCCGGGCCCGGCGCCGGGCGGUGCACCCCUCCUCCUGGCCUGUCCCCUGGGACUGGGGUGGCCGAGAGUCCCUGGAGGCCCCAGGGCACAGGUCCAGGAGCCCAGGAGCACAGGGCACCGGCCCUCCAGCCCAGGCCGUCCCCGGUCUGUGUGGAGCCCUGGCCUGGGGGGGCUCUCGAAGGGGCGCGUCGGGUCCUGAGGCCCAGCGGCUGCCCAGGGCCUGUGUGGAGACACAGACCUCGAGAGCCCCUGCAGCCAGUCUCUGA